rnacentral:rRNA from 1 species
UACGACGGGGGCUAGCGUUGCUCGGAAUCACUGGGCGUAAAGGGUGCGUAGGCGGGUCUUUAGGUCAGGGGUGAAAUCCUAGAGCUCAACUCCAGAACUGCCUUUGAUACUGAGGAUCUUGAGUUCGGGAGAGGUGAGUGGAACUGCGAGUGUAGAGGUGAAAUUCGUAGAUAUUCGCAAGAACACCAGUGGCGAAGGCGGCUCACUGGCCCGAUACUGACGCUGAGGCACGAAAGCGUGGGGAGCAAACAGG